CCUACGGGAGGCAGCAGUGGGGAAUUUUCCGCAAUGGGCGAAAGCCUGACGGAGCAACGCCGCGUGAGGGAUGAAGGCCUCUGGGCUGUAAACCUCUUUUCUCAAGGAAGAAGAUCUGACGGUACUUGAGGAAUAAGCCACGGCUAAUUCCGUGCCAGCAGCCGCGGUAAUACGGGAGUGGCAAGCGUUAUCCGGAAUUAUUGGGCGUAAAGCGUCCGCAGGCGGUCCAGAAAGUCUGCUGUUAAAAAGUGGAGCUUAACUCCAUCAUGGCAGUGGAAACUACUGGACUAGAGUGUGGUAGGGGCAGAGGGAAUUCCCGGUGUAGCGGUGAAAUGCGUAGAUAUCGGGAAGAACACCAGUGGCGAAGGCGCUCUGCUGGGCCAUAACUGACGCUCAUGGACGAAAGCCAGGGGAGCGAAAGGGAUUAGAUACCCCUGUAGUCCUGGCCGUAAACGAUGAACACUAGGUGUCGGGGGAAUCGACCCCCUCGGUGUCGUAGCCAACGCGUUAAGUGUUCCGCCUGGGGAGUACGCACGCAAGUGUGAAACUCAAAGGAAUUGACGGA
rnacentral:rRNA from 1 species